GGAAGGAAUAACUCCCCCCCAGCAGCAGCAGCAGCACAGAGAAGCAGAAGGAGGGGCUGGCUGAUCGCACAUUACUCCCUGGAGAAAGAAAGAAAGAAGAGGGCAGGGCUUGUGAUCGAGCUGCACUACUUGUUGUUGCCUGUGUGAAGGAGCGCAAACACUCCAAGCUGGUCAGCCUGUGAGUUAGUGAGCUGUUCAAAGCAUGAGGGGAAAAAAGUUCAGUAAAUGUCUGCAAGAUUAGAAACUAAAUAGCACAAAACAAACAGGAGAAGUGGUCAGUAACACUGACAGAGUGGAGGAUGAUGGCAGAGGGGCGCUUUGCCAGUCUACCCAGAACCCUCCAUGCUCACCACACCGUAGGAAGAGGCUCCACCCACACAGGGGUGCCCGGCCCCUCCCUUGCCUCCCCCAGCAGUGGCAUCUGCUCCUCCAGGAGGCUUCAGGCCUCUCUUACCACCUCCAUGGACCUCCUCAGUGCCAAACCUGGUUUUCCUCCUGGCAGCAGCGUAUCAGAAAUUUCUACGGCAGCCUACCAGCCCGUCUCGAUCCACGGAACUCUCCCUCGGCGAAAGAGAGGAGCCGGAAACAGCAGCACCCAUGGAAGCUUCACCUGGGACCCUAAAGCCAAUCAGGCCUCACUUUGCAGGAAUCCAUCCUUGCCUCCAGGACACAUGCAUCAACCCACAACAUCUUCACUGGCCCCACAUAUCUCUGAAGACUUCCACAGUUACAGGGAUCCUGCAGCUGCACUGGAUGCUGCCGUGGACUACGUAAAGGUAAAGUCUUGAUUUCCACAGUUUUUUUCAAUGUAUUGCAUUCAAAUUAGGCUCUGAUAAUAAUAAAAAAAAUGAAUCAACUUGAUUUUCAUUUAGAAAAUGUAGUGUUGGUUUUCCUAUAAAGAAAUUUCCUGUACUUUUUCAGGCAGUUAAACAGCUUUUUUCAUAGCUUUAAUAUCCUUUAUUCAUGAAUAAUUCAAAGUUUCUCACAACCCGAUUUAACUGAAAAAAAAAAUACAGUUUAAAGAUAACUAAAGAUGUACUAAUAUUUAAAUGGGAUUGAAUUGGGAAUCAAAUUAAAUCAAACAUUUGUGAAUAAGAAUCGAAUUAACUUUUGGCACCAAAUUCA
rnacentral:lncRNA from 1 species